GUUUUGCAGGACAUUUAACAAUAUUCGGUAAUUGUUUCCAUCCACUGCUUCCUCUGUCUUCCUCACAGUCGGUGGCCUCCAGGGUCAGGUCGGAGGGCUGUUCUUGACACCGAAUUCACUACGCCUGACACGUCCAUACCACCGUAGGCGCGCUUCCCUCACCUUCUUUUCGAAUGGAGCAACUAUGAGUUGUUCUCAAACAGCUUCAUUGGUCACACAAUCCAGGUGGGUUAAGCCCACCAUCCACCUGAGCAUCUUCAUCUCCACCGCAUUGAGGAUCUGCUCAUGUUUCUUGGUGGCUGGCCAGCAUUCUGCUCCUACAGCUCCACCGGCCAUAUGACUGCCUUGUAGAUCUUAGCUUUGAGGUGUUUGGGCAUCCUCUUAUAGCACAGGAUGCCGGGUGGAUUCACGCCAUUUAAGCCAUGCUGCGUUGACUCAUGAGUGCACAUCCGGGAGGGUCUCGCUGUCCACCCAGACCAGGGAAUUGGGUGGUCUUCUUUAGCUCCUGGCCGUCGAUCUGGAUCGAUCCCAGAGUCUGAGGGCCACAUUUUAGAUACUCCAUUUUCUUGGUGUUCAGGUGCAUUCCACUUUCUUCCAGCCGGUCCUUCCAUUCCUGCGACUGCUCUUGGAGGGGCAGGUGGUCUGGGUCGGCAAAUGCAAAAUCGUCUGCGUAAAGGAGGGUCCAGGGUAUUCAUGAUUGUAGGUCGCCCAUCGCUGUGUCCAUGCAGAGGAUGAAUGGCAGGGGUGACAGGGCUGAGCUUUGGUGGACGCCGAUGGUGAUGCUAAACGGUGACGAGGUACCCGCAGGGCAUAUGACUUCGCUGGUGACAUUCUGGCAGAGUAGCUGCAUCCAUCGCACUUAUUCUUCUGGGAUGCUAUGUGACCUAAGUGCUUUCCAGAUAAGGUUGUGUGGGACGCAGCCGAAAGCUUUCUCCAGGUCCAAGAAUGCCACAUGCACCAUCCUGUUCUUCUCCCUGUGCUUUUCCAUAAGAAGUCGAGCAGCAUGAAUGGCGUCCGUGGUGCUGGAGCCCUUAGCAAAUCCACAUUGGUUUGAGAUAGGCAUGGUGGUGCUGGUUGUCCAGGCCUGGGAAGGCUUGUUCUCGGCUGCAAUACGAUUAAGGAGAUCCGCUAGGAACGCUGAGCAUCUCUGAGCAUCUUCCAUAUUUUGACUGGGAUGUCAUCUGGUCCGGUUGCCUUUCCAUUCUUCAUCUUCUUCAGUGCCUUCCGCACUUCCAUGGUCAUGAUCACAGGAUGUUUCAGGAUGUUGUGCAUCCCUGGGAACAAUCACUGUGGAUCUGAAACAAAGUGGUCUUGUGGCACACCUUGCCCCCAGUGUGAGAUUUGGCCUACUUCAUAAAAUCCCACGUGCUGAUGCUACCCACUGCUCCCUUCUGGCUGUACCAAAAGUUUUUGUGAUGUGGGUACUGAUUUUAUGCACAUCUUCUCUAGGGAUGACUCCAUCAUCAUGUUCUUUGAAAGAGAAGAUGGGCUUUCCAUUCACAGACCUAUUACUACUUGACCUUAAAAACUUUGCACCACUGUCGGCACCAUCAACCAUCUCAACCAAUCCAGCGUAGUUGUAGGAUUUGGUUUUGUCUGCAAAGUUCACAGUAACAAUCACAACUACUUUCAGAUUGAAGCUCUACGCUCUAAAUAAGUACCCAACUUUGGUUCUCUGUGAACUAUCUGCAUUUUGAUAACCGAUAAUGAGCAUUUCCUGGGAAAAUAAUUAUUAAUGUUCUCUAUUACUUUUUCUUAAUGAAUGCACACUUAACCCAACCUUCUUUUGCCCCUGAUAUCCCUGCCAGCUGUAUCAAAAUGGCAUUUCUUUGUGCAUACUCAAAUACCGUGAACUGGCUUUUGAGUAUGCACAAAGAAAUGAACACAUAAAGCCCGCUAGUGCCUUUAACUGAUCUGCCAGUUCUUUCUCCAUGUUUGUCAAAGACCUGAUUGGCAGGUCUAGUUCUUUUAUAUCUUUAUUUCUUUUCCAUCUAUCUUCUUCUUCUCAGUGUAUCAUUUUGUCAUCCUGAAUAUGUUCAUCUUCCUCUCCACCUGAUGAAAUGACUCAAUCCUUCUCCACCUCAUUCACUGUGUCCAUGUCCUCUAAAGGAGUGGCAGCCCUGCCUGUCCUCUCUAUUAUAACUCUAUGGCAUGAUGGUCUAUUUCUAUUUUUGGCCUGAAAUUAAGAAUGUCACUGUGAAAAACUGUAAAAGUACAAUCUACAAUAAAAUAAUUGUGCCAA